rnacentral:ncRNA from 15 species
GGCUCGCUGCCGUAGUCUGGAGAAAGAAUCGCCAGGGUUGCGUUGCGGUGUGCCCCGGUUCGAGCCUCAGCGCUCGGCGCCGGCCGGAUUCCGCGGCUAACGUGGGCGUGGCUGCCCCGUCGUUUCCAAGACCCCUUAGCCAGCCGACUUCUCCAGUUACGGAGCGAGCCCCU